rnacentral:tRNA from 1 species
AAAAAUUUAGUUAAAAAAUAACAUUAGUUUGUCAAGCUAAAAUUAUUCAUCUUUAAAUAAUUUUUA